rnacentral:rRNA from 3 species
GGACUACCGGGGUAUCUAAUCCCGUUUGCUCCCCUGGCUUUCGCGCACUCAGCGUCAGUGAAGGUCCAGCAUGCCGCUUUCGCCACCGGAGUUCCUGAUGAUAUCAACACAUUUCACCGCUCCACCAUCAGUUCCGCAUGCCCCUACCUUACUCGAGACCGCCAGUAUCAGAGGCAGUUCUCCAGUUAAGCUGGAGGAUUUCACCCCUGACUUUGCGGUCCGCCUACGCGCCCUUUAAGCCCAGUGAUUCCGAACAACGUUUGCACGGUUCGUCUUACCGCGGCUGCUGGCAC